rnacentral:rRNA from 1 species
ACCUAAGCAUAUCAAUAAGCGGAUCGGAAAAGARACCAACAGGGAUUGCCCUAGUAACGGCGAGUGAAGCGGCAACAGCUCAAAUUUGAAAUCUGGCCUUCGGGUCCGAGUUGUAAUUUGUAGAGGAUGCUUUUGGCGCGGUGCCUUCCGAGUUCCCUGGAACGGGACGCCUUAGAGGGUGAGAGCCCCGUACGGUUGGACACCAAGCCUCUGUAAAGCUCCUUCGACGAGUCGAGUAGUUUGGGAAUGCUGCUCUAAAUGGGAGGUAAAUUUCUUCUAAAGCUAAAUAUUGGCCAGAGACCGAUAGCGCACAAGUAGAGUGAUCGAAAGAUGAAAAGCACUUUGAAAAGAGGGUUAAAUAGCACGUGAAAUUGUUGAAAGGGAAGCGUUUGCGACCAGACUUUUUCCUAGCGGAUCAUCCGGUGUUCUCACCGGUGCACUUUGCUAGGUUGAGGCCAGCAUCGGUUUCUGUAGGGGGAUAAAAGCUCUGGGAAUGUAGCUCCUCCGGGAGUGUUAUAGCCCUCUGCAUAAUACCCUUACGGGGACCGAGGACCGCGCUUUAUGCAAGGAUGCUGGCGUAAUGGUCGUCAACGACCCGUCUUGAAACACGGACCAAGGAGUCGAACAUUUGUGCGAGUGUUUGGGUGUUAAACCCUCACGCGUAAUGAAAGUGAACGGAGGUGAGAGCCCUUACGGGUGCAUCAUCGACCGAUCCUGAUGUCUUCGGAUGGAUUUGAGUAGGAGCAUAACUGUUCGGACCCGAAAGAUGGUGAACUAUGCGUGGAUAGGGUGAAGCCAGAGGAAACUCUGGUGGAGGCUCGCAGCGGUUCUGACGUGCAAAUCGAUCGUCAAAUCUGCGCAUGGGGGCGAAAGACUUAUCGAACCAUCCURGYAGCUGGUUACCGCGA